GGUAAUAUUACAAUUUAUCUUAAGAGAUAUAAGUUAGUUAUCUGUUUUAAUGUGCACAAUAUGGACACAAAAUCUGUUAAAAUUCGAAAACCAAAAAUGUUGAAUAUAUCAUAAGUAUAUUUACAUUGUAUGUUAUUUAAUAAUUAAAUUUAUUAAUUUUUUUUUUUUUUGUUUUAAUAGGUAUCUGAAUAACACAAUCCUCGAAUCUACCAAUGAUGACCGCCAAUUCAUAAUAGUAUUAUAAAUUAAAUUUUAAAUGUUUAUAAAACGAAAAUAUAAGUAUAAAUACAUCACAUCACACCAUGGACAGUCCACUGAUUUAGGUGGAAAGUUAGAAAGGUAGGAUAUAGAAGGGAAUUGAAUGUAUAUCUAUACACAGUGAUUAACUGUUGCUAACGAAAAAAUUAUUCUGAAUAGAGUUCGGUUCAUAGUGUUGUUUUUUAAACAAUAUGUAUGUCAUAUUAUAAUGAAACAAUUGCAUAUGCAUUAAACAUUUUCUUUAAUAAUAUUUGUUUAAUAUUGUACUUAUUUUUCCGUUUUUCUUAUGUUUUUUUCUGUUUUUUUCCGGUUUUUCCCAUUUAUUGGCAAAACUCCUAAGAAAAUCUAAAAGUGACCUCCCAAAAGUGUGAAAGUUUAAGAGCAUUUUUACUAACUGAAAAUUUAAUUUCGAGAAAAAACGCAUCCUAGACAAUUUUUAGUUGAUCUACUCAAAAUCUAUAAAAUAUCAAUGUAUACAUAGUAUUUGUUCGUAAAUUACAAUUCAAAAUAAACCUACUUAAAAUCACCUAUGAGUCAUAGGUAGCUGUCGUUAUAAGAUUGUAGAAUAUAACAAAAAAAUUAUAAUAAAAUUAUAAACUUUUAUAUAUUUAAUGCAGAAAUUGAUAUAACACUUUUCAACAAAAUACUCUUCAAAUUCAUAAUCGGGUUUAUGUGUAUAAGAUUAUCGUAGCCUAGCGAAAAUACUCGAAAAUUUAACACAAGGUUCAUCAUAAGUUGUAUACUUGUUGGUAGCAACAAGUAGUUUUUUGUUAGCAACGAUUUAUUGUUGUGUACAGAUUUUUCGAUAAAAUAUAUCAACAAGAAUUAAUUUUUAUUCCAUUUUAAAUAUACUAAAUAUUUUAUUUAAAAAUCAGUAACAAUUAGUUAGAGUACAAUAAUGUCAAUCUUAUUUCAACCUUAGGAGUAUUGACAAUUUUCUCGGAAUUUUUGGGAAAAUAAAACUUUAUUAACUCGAAAAUAUUUCAAAUUCGCUUUCAAAUACAUUUAAAAAUAGUCCCGUGUCGCAUUGUUAUUUGUCGCAAGUAUUUAUUAUGUAACCGUGAAAUUAAAAAGAAUCCGUUUCGCUCGGGCAAAAAUUAUUACUCUCGAGCUAUAGAAUUAAUUAAGAAACUAAAUUUUCACUACAAA